GAGUUUGAUCGUGGCUCAGAUUGAACGCUGGCGGAAUGCUUUACACAUGCAAGUCGAGCGGCAGCGCGGGGCAACCUGGCGGCGAGCGGCGAACGGGUGAGUAAUGCAUCGGAACAUGUCCAUGUCGUGGGGGAUAGCCCGGCGAAAGCCGGAUUAAUACCGCAUACGCCCGAGAGGGGAAAGUGGGGGACCGCAAGGCCUCACGCGAUUGGGUUGGCCGAUGUCCGAUUAGCUAGUUGGUGGGGUAAAGGCCUACCAAGGCGAUGAUCGGUAGCUGGUCUGAGAGGAUGAUCAGCCACACUGGGACUGAGACACGGCCCAGACUCCUACGGGAGGCAGCAGUGGGGAAUUUUGGACAAUGGGGGAAACCCUGAUCCAGCCAUUCCGCGUGAGUGAAGAAGGCCUUCGGUUGUAAG
rnacentral:rRNA from 1 species